GUCGAGCGGACUUGAUGGAGUGCUUGCACUCCUGAUGGUUAGCGGCGGACGGGUGAGUAACACGUAGGUAACCUGCCCAUAAGACUGGGAUAACCCACGGAAACGUGAGCUAAUACCAAAUAGGCUUUUUCCUCGCAUGAGGGAAAUGAAAAAGGCGGAGCAAUCUGCCACUUAUGGAUGGACCUGCGGCGCAUUAGCUAGUUGGUAAGGUAACGGCUUACCAAGGCGACGAUGCGUAGCCGACCUGAGAGGGUGAUCGGCCACACUGGGACUGAAACACGGCCCAAACUCCUACGGGAGGCAGCAGUAGGGAAUCUUCCGCAAUGGACGAAAGUCUGACGGAGCAACGCCGCGUGAGUGAUGAAGGUUUUCGGAUCGUAAAGCUCUGUUGCCAGGGAAAAACGCCUAGGAGAGUAACUGCUCUUAGGGUGACGGUACCUGAAAAAAAAGCCCCGGCUAACUACGUGCCAGCAGCCGCGGUAAUACGUAGGGGGCGAGCGUUGUCCGGAAUUAUUGGGCGUAAAGCGCGCGCAGGCGGCAAUGUAAGUUGGGUGUUUAAACCUAGGGCUCAACCUUGGGUCGCAUCCAAAACUGCAUAGCUGGAGUACAGAAGAGGAAAGUGGAAUUCCACGUGUAGCGGUGAAAUGCGUAGAGAUGUGGAGGAACACCAGUGGCGAAGGCGACUUUCUGGGCUGUAACUGACGCUGAGGCGCGAAAGCGUGGGGAGCAAACAGGAUUAGAUACCCUG
rnacentral:rRNA from 1 species